AAUUAUUAGGUAUUGUACACAUGAUUGCGCUUCAUAGUGGUGCUAUUAAAAAAGCGCCAUGAAAUGAUUACUGUCACAAUUUAUUCACAAAUUAUUCUAUCUUGUGUUAAUGCCAAUCCAAAGACAAUCCAAUGAAUGCUGCUGUGAAACAAAAGAUUCAGAACACAUCACUGACUUCCAUCCCUAGACUUUACCUAGAUGAGAACUGGGUAGUACUCAUAAUAUAACAAAUAUGAAUAUUAAAGACAACAAUGUUUGGAAAUGCAAGUUAACUCGUAUGUUCUCUCAACAUGUUCUUCAAAACCCAUAAAACAGGCUCACACACAUGAUUACCAUGUUUAAACAUUUUGUGAUAGGAUUGGACAUUUUGGUUAGCUUCAAAUAUUUUGCAAAUGGUUCACUAAUGCAGAAAGCAUGUUAACCCCACCAGCACAGCUAAAAUAUUUUUAGUUAGGUAACUGUGUCUUUUAAAGUGCAGAGAACAAAUGACAAGUAAAGUACAGUGUUAUACCAACUACUGUUCAAUUAAGAUGAGAGAAAAACUCACCUAACUAAAACCUAAAACUACCUGCCAGUUUUGAUGUCUGACUGAAUUUUAGGCAGGUAAACUGACCUUGAGAUCAUGGACCUUUGACGACAUUUUUUGGUUUGCAUCCUCCAGCUCCAAAAGGAUCUUCUGGAAUACCUCAAAGGUAUAUUUCAGUUGUUUGGGGUAAGACCCAUCAGGUAAGCACAAGCAGUUGCAACAUCAGAAAUACCAAACAGAACCUCUGCUCCCUCGAUGGCUAUUCCUGUUGACUUGGCAAGACUUUCAUCCGUGGCUUUGGAAACCACAAAGAUGUUGAGGACAAAUGUAGAAAUGUCCUCUUGGACAGCUGCAGCAUAAUCCUCGUCAAAAAUCUGGGAAAUAUAUAAAUGACGGAAUAAGACAGGGUAUCGGAAGUAUGAGGAAAUUGAAGCAAACAAUUUUUAAGACCUACACAACAGCACAUAAAGUUAGGUUAAAUAAAUACAUUUUAAAUAUGUGCUAAAUUUGCAUAUCUUCAAGUGUAACAUAGUAGUACUGAGAACUCUGUGCUUCAUUAAUUCCAUCUGUAAUAUUGGACUGGUCUACAUACUUAUGUAUAAUUUCUGCCCGGAAGUCAAUUGAAGAAUGUGCUGCAUGUUGUCUGGAUCUGUAUGAUGUGUCACACCUGUAUGUCAAGUUGGGUUUUUGUCCUGUCUCCAUGUUUGUUUAGUGACUUCCUGUUUUAUUUUGGAAAUUAACUCUCCUCUCGUUUCAGGUUCCUUGCCCUUCCUCAUGUGUCACCUUUCUGAUUGUCUUCCCUGAUUCCUGAUUGUGUUCACCUGUUCCCACACUUCCCUCAUGUGUACUUAUAGCCUGCGUCUCCCCUUGUCCUGUGGCAGUGUGUCGUGUCCUUUCGCCUCGCACACCCGCCUCAGGAAAGAAUCAAGCCCGGGUCACAGUUUUGUUUGUACCUAGCCACCUUGUGGUGUCCUUAGUUGUGCAGUUUAUGGCUCCACAGCUCCUUGAUUUAGUUUAGAGACAUUUUGAUUGUUUUGUUAUUUCCUCUGUAAGAGAGAUUUUGAUUUUCUUUUGGUAACUAUUCAGCUCUCUGUUUUGCCAGAGCAUUUCCCCGUUCAUCUCUCUUCGGAGAGGUUUUUUCUUCCCAGGGACUCAGUGUUUUUUGUUGGAUAAUAAAAGCGUCAGUUGAACCUCAACUCUGCGUCCGAGUCCUCCUCGAGCUCCCCCUGUGACAUAAUGCAAACGUUCCAUAAACGUUUGUGUUAAAAUCACACACUCUAAAAACACAGUGCAGAGUUUCUCAGAUGAACUCAAAAGAUGUUUGAAGUAAUCAUCCUCAGUCUAAAAACCAGAACUGCAAAGUUCACAACUGGAAAAAAAAAUAUAUCUUUGGUGUUGAUUUGUUACAUGGAUGUUUCCUUGACAAAUGUGACUUGAGGGCAUUCCAGGUUUUGAAUGAGCACGGGCAAUCAGAAUUUACACAGGGAAGAAAUUUGCAGUGGUUGUGCCUUGGCCUAUAGUGCUUUAAAAGUUUCCUAUCUUGCAAAUCCAUCCCAUGAAGUUUGAAACCCAGGUGCUAGAUCCAAGUACGUCCUGACAGUGAAGGAAAAGCAAAGUGGUCAAUCUCUCUGGGUGAAGUUCGGGUGGGACUCAGCAGGAGAUUAGUCAUUAACACGUGAUUAUGGUCAGCAGCUAGGAUUCCAUCAAGAACCCUUCAUCUCUCCAUUGCGUGCCCAUCAAUCUGUCCUCAAAAGUACAAUGACAGGACAAGGCAGGACGUUACCCUGGGACACAAGAGGCAGAAAACUACAAAAUAAGAAAGGAAACCCAAACCGUGACAGAAACAUUACAUUACAUAUCAUUUAGCGGACGCUUUUAUCCAAAAACUCCAUUGGGAAACCUUGCGAAAGCCCUUCUUUUUUCACAAGAUUCUACUAAUGUUACCUCUAACGGUAUUUUAAGGCCAUUGCUAAAAUGAUCUCGAGGAAGCACUGGUUUAUUUUUAAUUCCACUUCUACGAAGAUAAGACAUCUACAAAGACUAGAGUAUCCAACUAACUAACGGACUGAACUUUAAGGUUAGAAUACAGCUAACUGAAGCAAAUUAAAGUGAAUUUUCUUCCGUAUUCUUACCUUUUUAAAGUUCAGCCCGAUUAAUGUUUAAUCGAUUUUAAUGUCGAGGGUGACGUUCUGUUGACUUCUGACUGCAGAUGUGAAAUGGCGGAAUUGGCGGUGAAAUGAAUUAUCGCUUUUAUGAGUGUAUGCUAAAAUUAAGAACAAAAGGAUCUAGAAAAUAUACACUAGGCUGAAAAACAAAGGCGAAAAAGUCUGAAAUGUCCUCCGCAAAUGUCCAUCAGCUCGUGUCAAGACUGCAGUAAUUCUAAUACGGAACAGCUGUGCAGACAGAGACAAAACUAAUGAAACGGAAUCAGUGAUUAUGGAAAAGUAAAAAUAUAUAUGAACAAGCUGUUUUUUUAUAAAAUGGAUUAGACUUUUGUCAACAUUUUAAAGUUUAAAUGGUGUCUGUAGCUGAAAAAUUGGCGAAGCAGAAAAAUGUGAAAGUUGAAGUUCAAGGGGAUUUGAAAAUAAACUCCAUUGGGAAACCAUGUUAAAAUUGGUUAUGAAUUUGAUUUGACAAGAAGAUGUUGACAUAAAGAGUCGAAGAAGAACUACUUUCUGAGGCAGCAUUCCAACAAUAAGCCUGAGAGAUAAGGAGUUUUGCUCAGCUUUGCUGGCCACACUCAAUAACUUUAUUAAGCUUCAAAAAACAUACACUCAAACAAAGAUACCAGUGACAAAAGGAAACCUUUUCUCUCAAAAGGACCUCAGUGUGUUGGAAUGCUAAAAGAUGAAAUUAAUUUGAAAAGAAUUGCUAAAAAUGCAGUAAUGAGAAAUGCAUUUUAGCUUUGAAAAUGGCUGAGGCAGCAUUCCAACAAUAAGCCCAAGAAAGAACAAGGAGUUUGGCUCUGCUUUGCAGGCCAUACUCAAUAAAAGUGAUCCAACAUUGUUUUUUUUAUUACAAAUACAAUACGGUUCAUUUCAGUUGUUGAAAGUACAUGUCAUCAUUAACAUACAUUCAAAAGUUCAUAGUUAGUUUUAAUAUAAAAUCCAGUUUAGCAAAAAUACAGAAGUUGAAAAAGCCUUUCUUUCCGGUCCAACUAAUAAGUGAGUACAGAUAAUAACGAAGUGGGGAAAAAAACUCUACACUUUUAGACAACAUGUAUAUUGAGAACAACAAUACUUGUAUUUAGCAGCAGUCAGACGUUGAUGUCAGAACACCAGAAUUUUCUUGUGUGAACAUUUUAAAGAUGAAUAACUGUGUACAUGGUGUGGAGGAUGUUUCAUUUGUUGCUGAUCAGAAAUCUGUACUCUGUUCCUCCUACGUGGUUCAAGUAAGUCCAUCAAAUGUCCCAUUAGCCAGUUUAGAUUAACCCGAUGAUUGAAGUCUGGCUAUUUUGGUUCCUCAAAGGCUGAUACGCGCUUAAAGAAUGUUGUUAAUUUGAACCAGACUUGUGAUCAGGAUAAUUGUGCGUUCCCGUCUUACUUCAAAAGGGGAGGAGUUAACAGCAAAAAAACUGAAAGAAAGCCUAUUUUUUUUUUCUCUGCUGACGAGCAGGAGAUGAUCAUGAAGUGAUCUUUGUGAUCUCUCCCUAUAAAACACAAAUCCAGCUGAUUAUCGCCCCUUCAUCAAUUGGAUCUAUGAGGAUGAGAGCUGCCUUCUUUUUCCGGGAGAAUGAAAAACGUAGUUUUCCACCUGUCUUCAAUCAGAUCACCUCAGACUUGCAUAAUAAAAAACUCACUAAGUCUAUACUUGGUAUCGAUUAUCAUUUCUUCUACUGAUCAUACAUCUGCAAUACAGACCGAAACAAACCAGUAGAGCGGUCCGUGCGAGUUCCCGAGGAUCUCCUCUUAGACUCGUAUCACUCGUUGUCUCAGGUUCGGGCCGAUCCUUCACUGCUGCAAAGAGACCCAACAAAUGUUUUUUUAAUGUAAAGAAAAAUAUUUAUUCAUCAGAAUAAAGCUGCUGAAUUUAAACGUGUUUAAGUUUAACUUCGUGUAUCUACCUGUGACAUUCCUUAAAGUUCAUCCCAUAACUUGUGUCCGUUUCACACCAGUACAGCCCCGAGUCAUUGGUCUAGAGUCCGAAGAUGUGAAGUCUGAGUCGUCCGUCUCUGAGGGCGUCUUUGUCCCACUGGACUUGGCCUGUAAAGCGUUUAUCCUGCAACUCUGGGACCUCAACACCUUCAUAUACAUGAGUGAUGGUUUCUCAUCAGCUAACAUCUCACAGGAGAUAUAAAGGGAGUUGGGGGAGUGGUCCGUGCUGGUGGGGAACAUCCAUUCCAGUGAGAUGUUGUGGUUCUCCUCUGCCUGAUAGCAGCUCUGUGUCACAUUCACUACAAAUGACCCUGCUGGAGCCUUUAGACUCCGUCUCCAGAUGUUUCUGAGGAGUGUGCUGACGCUUCACAGCUGCUUUACAAACACAAAAGUGAACCGACCACAGACACGGGAGGUCAAGAUGAUCACCAGGAUGCUUCAGAUCAUCUCCUCCCUGUGAGAGGAGACCGAGGAGAAGAGGCUCAAACAUCUCAUCAUCAUCAUCACAACAACAAUCUACAGUGUGUCUCCACAUCGUGAUGCUCUUUGUGUUCAUCAUCAUGCUUGUUACAAACACACAAAGCUUUGAUGCUAAUGACAACCUCCCUGAAACAUGAGACAACCACUGUUACCUCUUACCGUUUAUGUGGUCUUCGAAACGCACCGCGAGAGUUAUGAAUCAAAAGCGUUCUACAAAUUGACGUGAGUUCUGUUUAGCUUUUCUGGAAUCUACUAGUCAUGAAUCAUAGAAUAAAAGCACUAAACCAUCUCAGAUUGUAACAUUCAACGACCACACAUAAAUCUCAAGUUCCCCAACUUUUGACCGAUCUUCGCUCCCAUACAUGAGGAAAUAUGGGGAAUACUUGGUGGUCAGUUGUUUCUUCGACCAAACACAGUGGACUUAAUAUAUUGGUCCCAGUCACUGGGGUGAUCCUGGACCAUUUUGUUUUUUUUUCAAAACUCUAAAAUAGAGGAAAACCAUUAUUAAAGACAAUAAAAAGUCAGUCUCAAAGUAGAUCAACAGUGGUUAUUGGAAUAUAUCUUCGAUAAAUAAUGUUAUACCCUUGAAUUGUGCCAUUGAGUUUUUCAACCAAGCCAUUGGUUUGCGGGUGGUAUGGAGCACAGAGGCUUCGGUCAAUGCCAAGUUUCUGGCACAACUCUGUAUUCAUCUAUAAAAUGCACAAGAGGACAACUUAUUUUGAAUACCAUGAUGCUUCUUCCAUUGGUAAUGGGACCACGAAUACGGACAUAUUACUUGCGUCAAAAUUAAACUUACUUUGUUCACGAAUUCCUUUCCACGGUCUGUGAGGAUACGCUUUUGGGCGCCAUAUUUAUAAAAGAAAUCCAUUACACACAUGGAGAUUUCUUCCGCUCCUUUAGUUUUCAGUGGGUAUACCUCAAGCCUCUUUGUGAAAUAGUCCACCAUCACAUAAAUGUAUUGACACCCAUUCUUGGUGCAUUUUAGCUUACCAACCAAGUCCAUCCCAAUUCAAAUGGUUGAGUCACCUUUUAAAAAGCAAACCAGAUUUUAACACAAGGAUGCUUCCAUUCAACAUGUUAUAUUUAGUAAGUAUUCACCUCUUUGGGUUUGUAUAGCAUUUUCUCCUUUAUAGAGGUCCUCUUCUUUUGGCAGGCAUCACUCUGGUCAAUCUAAAACCAUUUAGACAAUUGAAAAACACUGAUUUCAAAUGUUUACAUAUUAUCACAAGCUCCCCAGAGAUAAGGAGUGACACCCACCCAUUUCUCGAUGUCUGCCUUCAUGCUAGGCCAGUAGAAUCGUUGCAGAAUUGCAUCCAUGGUCUUGUCGACCCCACAGUGAGCUCCAAUGUCACUGUCAUGAAACUCAAUGAAUAUGGCAUUGGCUUCUUGUGGGGUCAACACACCCUUGGCAAGAUGAUGCCGCUGCUCAUCUCACUUUCUGCGGCACUGAUAAUACAGGUCACCGUCUAUGAAUUAGAUUGCAUAAACAUUUGAAGUGACUGAUUUAAAUAGCCAGUAUAUUAUUUAACUUAGUUUAACAUUUUCAUUUAGCUGAGGCUUUUAUCCAAAGCAACUUACAAUAAGUGCAUUCAACCCAGGGGGUACAGAAGAAGAAGAAUUACAGUACAAGUACAAUUCCUUUAAGAAAGCCAAACUACAAGUUUAACUUUAAGUAGUUGCUAUCGUAAGAUAGCACUUAGUACGUUACUUACUUAUCAGUUGGUAACUCUCUGCACGCCGUUUGAGAACAUAUCGCUCAUUCUUGCUGAAAUGUGCAGGAAAAGAGUUGCUCUGCUUGUAGUCCUUCAAUUCUUUCACCUUUUGUGGAUCCAUCUCUUGUUCGGAAAGACCUCAUGGCGUUUUUAUAGGGACGCUGCUUGUUAACUUUAAUUGGGUGACAGUUAAGAAUCGAUAAAUUUGGAUGUCUUCCAAGACACGCCCACAGUAACCAGUUGUUUCAGAUCCCCUACACCAGAAGGUUUCCUCCAUGCCAAUCACGUUGUAUUAAUAUAUUAAGACCAAACCCAGCGUACUGCCCUGUUACGCAGCGCACAGAGCAAGCGCCGGUACAAUGCGUUAGCCGUAAGAACACAAUAUCCUUUUUUUUUUUUUUUUUAUCCUAAUGUGUCGAUGCAAGGGUGCAGCCUCCAUGAUAAAGUAGCGUUGCACAUGUCCUGAAGUGUUCCAAGACAUGCCCAAGGUAACUAGUUGUUUCAGAUCCACGACACCAAAAGGUUUCCUCCAUGCUGAUCUACGUCAACAAGAUGGAUCAAUUAAACAAAGGGUCAACAAAUUUCUGUGCGUCUCCGUGGUGCACUGCUAAGAGCAGCCAUCAGGUUGAUGUUUUGACCCACCGGGUUUGAAUCCAGGUCGUUCUGAUCUUUCCUUUUAAUAUAUAUUUUUUAAUAUAAAUGUUUUCAUUUAUAUUGGCUCUGAUGUGCUCAAUUAGACAAUCGUAAGCGCUGCAAUGGAUUUGUGAUGCGUUUUGAUGAUUUUCAGCAAUGUUUGUGAAUGUGUGACAAAUCACUGAACAGAGAGUGAGUGAGAGUGACUGUGUUGAACGUCCCCCCGUUCGUUGGGGAUGAGGCUCUGGUUAAGGAGCUGUCAAAGCACGGGAAGGUGCUGUCUCUUCGGGGUCCCCGCUACUGAGACACGUGGUGUCACCCAAACAGCUACUCCUCAUGGUCCUCAACAGGACCCAGGAGCUCAACCUGUUGUUUGGAGUCGAAGUGGAGGACUUUGUUUAUGUGGUGUUUGCCACCGCUGACAAUGAGAUGUUUCUGUCAGGGGAUGCGGGUGGGAGGCAGGACUCAGAACGCAGACUUCAAAAGGAACACAAAGGACUUUAAUAGUCAAUGGUCAAAAACACAGGAACCGGGAGGAAAAGCAGCAGGCAACAUGUGUGACAAAAGACAAGGACAUGCGUGGCUAAAGACAAUGACGCGACAAGAGAUACAUGGCUUAAAUACACAAGGGAGGUGCAGGUGAUUGGACACAGGUGGAAACUAUUAGACGAUCACAGGGGAUGACGGGACAAGGCAGGAAGUGAAGUUACCCGGGGACACGAGUGGCAGAAAACUACAAAAUACAACAGGAAGUGAAACCACACCGUGACAGUUUCAGGUGUGGCAGGAAAGGACAUCUCGCCAGAACAUGUCCGGGAAAGGACUCUGCUGAGGGUGCAGGGGAACGAGGCAUGGAGGAUCCUGAGGAGGUCAGGGGGGAACAUCAUGACGGUCAGGGAAGACAGGAGAAGACAGGUAGGGUACAACAGGAGGGAGAGUAGGAACAGGAAGAGACGGGUCGGAUCAAGCAGGCGGUUGAUGUGGUUGAGAACUGACAGCAGGGGACUGGUGGUCCAGCAGGGUGGGGAGGCGAGUGAUAGGGGCCAGGAGGGGAAUUGAAGUCCAACAGGUAGGGCAGAUGUGUGGGGAGGGGACAAGUUAAGUCCAGCGGGAGAGUGAGGUGUGUGUGUGUGAGAGGGGUGAAGGUGGUGGUGGUGGUGGUGGUAGAGUCCAGCCGGCCUGCCAGAGGAGCGACAGAGUGACUGAGGGGACGAUUGAGGCCCAACAGGUGGGCCAGGUGGGUGUGGGGGUGAAUGAAGAGGCAGGUGGGUUCAGACAGCUUUGUCAAGAGAGGGGAAGAGUGGAAGAAGGUAUGAGUGGGGUUCAGCAGGUGGUUCGGGGGGUGAAGAAGGGCUGGAGGAGCUGGAAAAAAUGACCAACCAAUCACACAUGCUGAUGAAAUGCUGUUUGAAAACAGCGACGAAAAUAUGGAGGGGGAGGAGGAGGAACGUAAAGCCCCCCCUGAAGAGAAGGAAGACAAGGAGCAGCAGAGGAGCCUCUCGAGCUAAGAAGGGGUCAAAGAACGGAAGGCGAACAAGAGGGGAAGCGGGUAAAUCUGGGUCCUCUGCUGACUGGGACUCCACUGACAGCGCCUCUUCUGGAGGGACAGUGACCAGUAGGUACGGGGUGGGGAAAGUAAAGCUCUUCCUGAAGAUAACAAAGAACAUGAAGGGGGUGGACUUCGAGGAAUACUUCUCGAAUGAGGAAUGAGUCUGGCACGUGCAGCUGGGAGAGUUUGUCCUGCAGCAGAGACGGGAUGAUGGUGGAGCUGUGGGGGAUGGGAUCAGGACAUUGUCUUUCGAAUCUGCAGAAGAACUCAUUCAGCUCAUCUGCCAGGCGGAGGUCAUUCAUGGAGUUUUUUUUUUUGGCUUUUAGUUGGUGAGGUGUUUGAGGCCUCUCCAAACUGAAGCAGAGUCACUUGCUGAGAACUGUUGUUGGAGUUUCUCAGAGUACAGUCGUUUAGCAUCUCUCACCGCCUUGCUGAACUUGUAUUUUGACUCUGUAAGCAGAUCUCCAGGAAGGUGUUUAAGACCGCAGAAAGCUGAUCAGCACAAUGCUUCAUGGUGUGGGCGGGAGACGGUCUGGUCCGGCUGCUUUGUGGGGGUUUUGUUUUUUAAAGAGCCCACGUCUCUCUUCAAAUUAGAGAGGGUAUUACGGCAGAAGUCCUGCUGUAGACUUGUGCACAACCAGGACGAGGAUCCACACAGUCUCUACAACCUAGUGACACAGAUCUGACAGCAGUGUUCCCGUGUCAGAAUCUAUGUCGCAAACUGCCUGGAUUAAAACAUUUGAGUUUUUAGUGGAACAACAAAUAAAAACAUUUGACAUGAUGACUUUGACUCAAGUAAUUGUUAAAUACUCAACAUAUGUUGUGAUCCGUUUGAGCGAAGGGAGUUCCAAAUCCUUGCAGCUCUCCCAGUUAAUCUGGUAAAUCUGACAGGAAGAAAUAUAGAACCAUCCAUUUUUUUUAAUAUAUCAAUAAAAGCCUUUUCAUUGGGAUGGGAUGGUAAAAUGCAAUGGUGCACAUUAACUAUCAUAGUUUUUGCAUAUUUCACUCGUGAAGAUCCACGUAGAUUUGUUUACUGUGCUCAUGUUGUUCAUAAUAUGACUCAAAUGUAGAAAACUGGGGAAUAGACUGUACAACCAUAAUGUACGACAAUGCCACAAUUUCACUAGUUACACAUAGAUUCUUUUCCUUAGCAGACAUUGUGGUUCGAGCUUCCUGGACCAAACUGAUCUUUCACUGAAGAAACAUAAUGUUCUCAUUUCUUCUUUUUGGCAACACAAGUCAUACAAUAAAAUUGGAUGCAGCAGUGGGCCCUGAUGCCUGUUUGGAUGCCUUCUCUUCCAUCAACCUUGAUCAACUGACUUCUAUAAUUUCAAAGUCUAAAUCUUCUACUGUCUAUUUGAUCUGACUAAGCUGCUUAAGUUUUUUCUUUAGUUAGCACAUCUUUAUUAGAGAUUAUGAAUCUGUCUUUGUUGACAGAACAUGUACCACAGUAUUCUAUAAAAACGUUAAAAAACCCUCUGUCCUCUUCUGAUGUCUCCUCCUUCUUUUACAUUAUAUUACAUGUGAUUCAGCUGACGCUGUUAUCCGAAGCGACUUAACGUGCACUUAUUAGUGCAUUUCAACCAUAAGGAAACAAACCCAGAAGAACAAGAAAAAGUGCAAUUCCAUCAAAUAAGCUCAUCUACACCUUGCUAUAGAUAAGAGCCAUUAUAAGUACAAUUUAAGUGCUACAAUUUAUUUACUGUUUUUUUUUUAGUCACUGUAUAGUCUGAAGAGGUGUCUUUAGUUUGCGGCGGAAGAUGUGAAGGGUCUCUGCGGACCUGGGGUCCGUUUCAAGAAGCGGGUUUAUUGGAAACUCAGAGUUGGUUAACCCGGAGAUGAGGGAAACUCUGGCUUGUCUGUUUCACAAACGGAGGUAACUAAAGCUCAGGGUCAUUCACCAUGGUAAUUGAGCCUGUGAACCAAACCUGGUCGGGAGCAGGUUUACUUCAAUAAACCUGGAGUUUCUUUCACAGUCUCCUCCCUCUGACUGCAGCCCAGCCAAUCACACAGCACAACGGAAUUGUUUUUCUUCACAGUCCAUCCAAUAUGUACAUGACCUCACCCGUCCUCAUAUAACUAAUGUCACUCAUCGUGGACAUGCUCUCACGUACGAGCAGAUUUGUCGUGCAGUGUAUUACAUUUUUUUGCAAACUGCAGUUUCCUUUACAACAUUAAAAUAUUAGUAAAGCUGCUGUAUGCAGAGCCGUGAGAAACGUGUGCCUCGCUCUGAAAUGUCUUUUAGACGUUUUUGUUCCCUGGAUGCAAACCAGUGAAGCCAUUGAAGAGGAGUUCCUGAAUAAAAUACAUUAUAGGUUCAAUACCAUUGUACCAGUUUUUACCAGCGAUAUUGUUCUUGUGAUUAAAUAUGACCAUGGGUGUGUAUUUCAAGCUUGUGUGUAGUGCAUUCUAACGAACAGUGUAAAAACCUGGGAAUUAAUCAAACGUAUGGAUUAUGAUUAGUGUGUACAUUAAAUAUUAACUGACAACACUAUAUUGGAACUUACAGCAAUUUUCUCCCAUGCAGUUUCUCUGUCUUUUGCUGCAGUAGCGGUGUUGCUUUUUUUGUAAUACUCUCCAUACACUUGCAUUAAUACAUCCAGCUCAUGCCGACCGAUUGUUUGUGGUGGUUGCCAUGGUGAAUUGUGGUAUCAUGGCUCCAUUCAUGCUGCCUUCAUACUGUGGUGGUGCACGCGCUCAACUCUGAGACAACCUACUCAGAGUUAAACUCCAAACAGCUGUUCUGAAACCGAAAUCCGAGAGCUCCUCCAACCAUUUAGGAGCUAGGAUAACAAAGAGUUGUAAUCUUGUCGAGUGUUUGGCUCUCAGAGGGAGGAACAAUUUAGCAAAUGCCGAGCGGAGUGUGCGGGUUGGAUUGUAGGGUUUGAUUUCCUAGAUAUAGACUGGACACGAUCCAUUCACAGCACGAUACGUGAGUAUCAAUGUUUUGAAUUGGAUGCGUGCAGUCAGGAGAGAGUUGCAGUAGUCCAGGCGGAAGAUGACAAGAGCCUGAAUCAGCACCUGCUCCGCCUUCUGAGUGAGAAGGGGACGUAUUCUCCUGAUGUUGUAGAGCGUGUAUCUACAGGAUCGUGUUCUCCCUGUAAUGUUCGGAGUCAGGGAGAGUUGGCCGUCAAGUGUCAUGCCGAGGUUCUCAGCAGUCAAAGUCGCGUUACGCAGGACCUGACUGAAGUCAACAGUCAGGUCCUGGGUAGGAGUGUCAUCGGCAUAGCUGUGGUAGGAGACGCUAUGUGAGCGAAUGACAGCCGAGAGAGUUGGUGUAGAACGAGAAGAGGAGGGGACCGAGGACGGAACCCUGAGGAACUCAGUAGUAGUAAGAGGACAUGGUUCCGACACAGAUCCCCUCCAAGUUACCCGUUAGGAAUGCAGAGUGCGUUUAUUGGUGCGGUAACCUGGGAGGUAGAAGACAGGGAUUAAACUCUCCAAUGCCGAACAUCCUGCUCCCAGUGUUUGUCCGGUUCACCGUCUGUUUGUUCCUGCCAACCUCUGUAUGCAGGUUCUCCAGUAGGGUCACGCGUCUCGCCUGGCUUGCCAUCCCGGGAUCCGACGCACUCUAGCAAUGCUCAGACAACGCUUCUGGUGGCCUUCCAUGGAGGAGGACGCAAAGGAGUUUGUCGGUGCUUGCCUGGUCUGCUCCCAGCAUAAGAGCACACGUCAACCUCCGUCCGGACUUCUUCAUCCUCUACCUAUUCCUGGACGCCCUUGGUCCCACAUCGCCAUGGAUUUUGUAACUGGCCUGCCUCCCUCUGACGGUCAUCACAUCAGUCAUCCUCACGACCAUUGAUCGAUUUUCAAAGUCUGCUAUGUUAUUACCACUACCAAAGCUACCCACUGCCCAGGAGACCGCUUAAGUUUUGUUGCAAAACGUUUUCCGGCUGCAUGGGUUACCCAUUGACGUGGUCUCUGACCGGAGACCACAAUUCACUUCUCGUUUUGGUCAGAGUUUUGUAGAUUGCUCUUCAGGUCAGGUUGUUUGGUGCGAGUGGCGGAGUUUUUGAAUCGGUUUAGAGCUUUUUUUGAGAAUAAUCUGGUGUGUUGACCGAGGGAGUUAUACAAACUGGCUUUUGAGUGAUCAGGGUUUUUUUUGUCGAGGUGCCCGCGGAGGAAUGGCGUCCUCCGAGACGCCACCUUCGUCUCUCCAGCAGGGAGUAAGGAUUGUCCCGCCGGAUAACGCGGCCACUGUGGAGGAGGUUGUUGCUGGCUGACGAGGAGCAGGUAGGACACGAGAACCUGUCCUUCGCUUCCAGGAUGAACAGAGCUGUGGUUGUGUUCCUCAAAGACGAACCUCGUGUCCACCAGCUAAUUGAGAGCGGCGUGUUCAUCAGGGACGCGCUCAUGCAGGUGUCCCCGCUGACAGCACCAUCUACGCGGAUCAUCGUGUCCGGUGUUCCACCGUUUAUCCCAAAUGAAGCGUUAACCAACGAGCUGCGGAGGUUUGGGAAGUUCGCCGGUGGAAUAAAAGCGGUGAGUCUGGGAUGCAAAGAUCCCAAACUGAAACGCGUCCAGUCUCUGAUGCGGCAGGUCUCCAUGUUCCUAGACUCACCUGCUCAGAGCCUGGACAUCUUUUUCAGGGUGAAGCACGGCGACAGUGCAUAUAUGGUGUACGCCAGCUCCGGGCAGCUCAGGUGUUUUGAGUGUGGAGAAGUGGGGCACAAAAGGUUUUCUUGUCCGCGAAGGAAGCAGGCGGCCGCUGCUGAUGCCGGCGAGGGCGUGACAAACGCGUCCAACUGAGCGGCGGACGAACCUGCGGCAAAAGAACCUGUGGCGGCGGACGAAGCGGCGGCGGACGAGCCAGCAGUGGCUGAAGGGGCGGCGGCAGACCGCGAAUUUGACGGAGCAGUGGCUGUUGCCACUGACGCACAACUUCAGGACGCGACGCAGAAGAACCAACCAAAUGAGCAAAAGGUUUCUGUUGCUGCAAAGAACACCUGCUCUCAGUUUGAAGAAAACAUGGAGCAAGAGGCUUCCACGAGCACACUGUGGCUACAAUUGAAGGGCAGGGUGUUUCCAAUAGCCAGGUGUGUGGAGAUGGUAUGGAUUAUGAGUCGGAGUCAGACACAUCUGUCACUGGAUAAAAAAAACACAGAUCUUUGCUCCAAAAGAAGAAAGUAGGAGUAAAAGGUAAGAUGACUUCUCUGUCUGGAUGUUAAAGCCCAGGAGGAUGAGCGGACGGCUAUUUUCAGGGAAGUUGGACAUGAAAAUCAUCAAAGCGAAAAAGAAAUGACCCAAGGAUCCUGGCGGACGGUAAGGAAGAUGGCGCCUCUGCAGUGGCUGCCUGUCACCGUAGCGCUCGUGUGUUAACUUUGUUUUGGGACUUAGCUCUUUCUUUUCCUGGAAUUUUUUUGUGUGUUCUUUCUUCUUUCAACAAUCUACUAAGCAACGGCCUGGUGGACUGUAACUUUUUUUCCCUCUUUUGGGUGGCUUUUCUGUUACUUUUUUUACUUCUGGUAACGGAGAAACGCAUUUAUUUACUCGAGCGAUCACCUGAUCGCGCUGAGGGGGCCUCUACUGCUGCCCGGAGUGAAGCAUGAGAUCCCCGAGGAGCUUCGGAGAAGACGUCUGGGUUGCAGAGCUGGAGCCAAGCUGAAGGCAAGAAGGUGGAAACACAAGCCAUCCGUGCCUGGUGAUUUUAAUAGGGAACGUACGGCCUUUGGCAAAUAAAACGGACAAGCUAGCCGCGCUGGUUAAAACCCAACGUGAAUAUCGGGAGACCAGCUGAGGCAGCAGUAGACCCCAUACACUCCACUGUGUCCAAACUACAGACCCAGCAUCCCGGUGCAUGUUUGGCCGUUACAGGAGACUUUAACCACAUCACUCUGGAUGAAGCUCUGCCAACUCUGCACCAGUAUGUUUACUGCCCCUCACUGAACAAUAAAACUCUGGACUUGCUGUAUGCUGAUGCCAUGGAUGCAUACAGCGCUACCGCCCUUCCCCCGCUUGGCAGGUCGGAUCACAACCUGGUCCUGCUGACUCCAAGUUAUGUUCCUCUGGUGCAGAGGCAGCCUGUGACCACCAGGACGGUGAGGAGAUGGACACAGGAGGCUAAGGAGGCACUGCAGGACUGCUAUGAGUCCACAGACUGGAAUGUGCUGUGUGGACCACAUGGGGAGGACAUAAACAACUUAACUGACUGUGUCACAGAAUACAUCAAGUUCUGUGAACACACCACCGUUCCAUCCUGGACUGUCCGCUGCUUCCCCAACAACAACUGCUGAACUGCUUCUUCAACAGGUUCAGCUCACAGCCCUCAUCUGUCUCCUCCUCACACCUCAGCUGACUUCCCCCGGUCCCCUGUGGUGAGCUGCAUGGACACAGAGGCCCCAACUUCAAAGGACUCCUCCACGCCCCCACACCUCUGCUGCCUUCCUCCCUCCCCCCUCUAUCUCCCCUGGUGAGCGGCUUGGACUGUGAGGCCACUUCAAAGGGCUCUUCCCCAACUGACGGCGUGACCCCCCCCCCCCUCUCGGUGACGACUGACCAGGUUCGGAGACAGUUGAGGAGACUCCACCAACGCAAGGCUGCAGGACCUGAUGGCAUCAGCCCCAGGGUCCUGACGACCUGUGCUUUCCAGCUGGCUGAGGUCCUUCAACCCCUCUUCAACCUGAGCCUGAAGCAGCAGAAGGUCCCGGUGCUGUGGAAGACGUCGUGCCUGGUUCCGGUCCCCAAGAAGACGACUCCAUCUGGCCUUAAUGACUAUCGACCGGUCGCCCUCACUUCCCAUGUGAUGAAGGUGCUGGAGAGGCUUGUCUUGGCCCGCCUCAGGCCGCAGAUGAAAUCUUCACUUGACCCGCUGCAGUUUGCAUGCCAGCCUCGUGUGGGAGUGGAUGACGCCAUCAUCUACCUGCUGCAACGAGCCCAGUCGCAUCUGGAUGGAAAGGGUGGCUCUGUGAGAAUAACUUUCUUUGAUUUCUCCAGUGCCUUCAACACCAUCCAACCACUGCUGCUGAGUGAGAAGCUGCAGGUGGUGGGGAUGGACUCGUCCACCGUCUCCUGGAUCACUGACUACCUGACAGGCAGGCCACAGUUUGUCCGACUGGGCAGCGUGCUGUCUGAUACAGUUGUCAGUGGUACUGGAGCUCCACAGGGAACUGUUCUGUCUCCUUUCCUGUUCACCUUAUAUACCACUGACUUUCAGUAUAACUCUGAGUCCUGCCAUCUGCAGAAAUUCUCUGAUGACUCUGCAGUGGUAGGGUGUAUAAGGGAUGGACGGGAGGAGGAGUGGAGGACUUUGUGGUGUGGGCGGUUAGAAAUUACCUGCUCCUGAACGUGGCCAAGACCAGAGAGAUGGUGGUCUACUUCGGGAGGAAGACGACGGCUCCGCUACCUUCUGGGAGAGGAGGUGGCCACGGUCGAGGACUACAAGUACCUGGGUGUCUCCAUCGACAACAGACUGAACUGGAAGACCAACAUCAAUCCAGGUCUCAGUGAGAGCGAGGAAGAGCGAUUGCUGGAUAGCAAAGCCGGAGAUGAAGCCUGUCUUGCGAGUAUCUGAUUGGAGAUUCCAGAGGCCUCCUGUGACAUGGUGUUGGACAUAUGUGGAGCCGGUGGGAUAUGUAUGGGAGGAGAGGUUACGAUAGAGAGCAGGACUAGCCCGAGGGCUGUAGUAUCUGCGGGUAGGGAUUCAAACAGGUACAGAAAACAAACUUCUUCCCAGAACUCCUUUAUCAACAAGGUCAAGAGGCUCUCAGAGUAGGGCUCCUCUGUGGUGGUGAGGUUUUUGGGAAUCAGACCUUUAGCAUGAGCCUCAUGUCCAGGUGGAGAAGCAGACUCAAAUAUUUAUGAGCACUCAUUAAUAAUAAAAUAAAUCAAUCAAUAUAAAAUGAAUGAGUCCAGUGUAAAGACAAAAAACUAGAUUCUGCAAAGGCCCAAAUGCAUUGUGCAUUGUGCAUGCACGCCCACCACCUCAGGAGCUCAUUUAACUCAACUCAUUUUUUUCUUUUUUUGUUCAUCAUUGCCCCACCGAUGUUAUCCUGCAUUGUGUAUAAGAGGCUCCCAUUGAUGGGAUAUUAUCUGUUCAAAAUGCAUGGGUGUUCUUCAGUCACUAGCUUCUUCCCAGUGCCAUAAGGACCACAUGCACAAUCAGGGGGACCUACAGUAGAGAUCAUAUGUGCUCAGGAGCACUUUAAACAUUAUCAUAAUACAUACUUCAAUAGAGAUUCUGCGCAUGGAAACCGAAAUCAUAUUUGAUGUAUGCAUAAGCAUACGUAGCCAAUAAAGCCAAUUCUUCAUUUCAAAUAAAAAUAAGAAGCCAAUUCUUUAUUUUAGUUUCUCUUUUCUAGCAUAGGUUGCGUUAAUAAUUCAUAAAUGUUCUGUAUUUUGAGUGCUCUUUAUAUAUUUAUACGGUUGGUAUGCCAGCAUGAGUCAAAUACCACAUAUGCGUAAGCAUAUGUAGCCCAUUCUGAAUCUGAUGAUGUUUUGGAGUGAAAGUUUGCAGGCCAUCUUUGGGCUGAAAAAAGGUCACCAAGUGCUAUUCUAGCCUCAGAUAUUAUAGUUUGAUAACCUGCUCUCUGGGGUUUGCAAAGGGGUUUGUUCUGAUCCAUUAGCGUGUUUUGUACCUUGCAGCUUCUACAUUAAAAACUCCUCAGAAAUCUCCUCUGUGAUGCUUACAACCCACAUGAUUGCACAACUGUAGACAUACAUCGACUAGCAUGCCCAUCCCAUCCCCCACAACACACUCAGUUGAGGAAAAGGUGGGAGGUCAGGCACGAAAAGGAUGCAAACUUUGUGUUAGUUACUAUGGUACUUGCGUACCGUGCGGCACACAGAUCAGGUCCAGUCUACAGCCAGGACAUGGUCAAACCUUCCAUCCCUGCUCGGUCAUGCCGCUCUGCAUCUGCAUCAACCUGCAUGUUGCUCCCUCACAGAGAGCUAAAAACGUAACAACACCCCGACUGUUUGAUGUCCUGACUCAAAUGGUAGAAGGAGCUCCCCAAUGACAUCAGGACAGCAGAGAGCUAAAACACUCCGCUACUGAGUAUACCUGGACUAAUUAGCACUUACGAAGUAACUCACUUUGUAGUUUGGCUUCCUUCAAUAAAUUGUACUUUCUUGAUUAUUUUUAUUCUGGGUCUUUGCCCUCUUGGUUAAAAUGCAGUCAUUGUAAGUCGCUUUGGAUAAAACUGGCAGACUACUUGAUUGCAACAUUUAAAUGUCGACGACCAUUUAUCUCCUAAUAUAUAACAAAAUGGGUUUUCUAAUUAUGUGAGAGACUCCUGAUUAGCUGUUUUACUUUGGGAGUGAUGGAAACGUCAUGCCUUUUUAAGGAGGCACAGGGAUCCUCUCCACAUAUUACCUGUGUCAUAUUCCACCGUCAUUUAGAGACAGUUUGAGCAAUAUAGACAUUUUUAUUAAUGUGACCAAUCAAAGCUGUAAUUGUAGUUGAUACCUAGCAUUACUACAUAAUAAUUGUCAGCUAAGAACACAAUAAAAAUCAUUACUGCUGAACAUCAGCUUGUUUUUUGUCAUUUUCAUCAUGUUAGCAUGCUGAUAUUUACUUUUAGCUCCAACCACCACUGGAGCACCACAGUCUCACACAAAGCAGUAGACUCUGAAUCCCCCCAACCUCAUGGAAUCGCACUACUCCACAUUUAAGACCCAAUCAGUGCUCUGAAGGAACGCAGGAUCAGCUGGGUAGCCAUAAGAACAUUUUUAAAAAUGCUCUCUCUCUCAUAAAGAUUCUGCCAUUUCAAGUAUUGUCCUAAAGCUAACCUCCUUUUCUUUUUCCCCGUAAAGCCCUGCCAAACAAGUCCAUCACAGCAUUUCACUCAAUGCAGGUACAGGUUGAAGUUAUUCUCCAAAUUCUAAAUUUCUAAUUUUGUUUCCGUCCAUCACUUCUCUGCUACGAGCCAAUGUUGGACGUGUCCCUCUUCACAAGACACACUUAUACAAAAAAGAUGUUUCUUGGAGACAGAGGCCCUUAUCUGUAAGCUUUGUUCCAGGUUGGAAUGACAGAGAAACAACCAGUUACGCCCUAGAGGCCCAGUACAUCUUCAGACCAACGAAGAGGCUCAUUAAAGUGCUUGUGUUGCACUUCGACCCCCCUCAAUGUUGUUAGAGCCUUCCUUAUGAGUCAAGUGAGCACUUCUAUUCAUCACUGUCUUGCUGCUGCAGUUAUUCCUCAGCUGGGACAGCAAGAAAAGUGCAAAAUGUUUUUUGAGGCCUGGGGAAGCGUUUGGCUGCUGUCUAAACUCCCCUCCAUCUUUCUGAUGUUUCUGAGUGAACCCUUAGCAGCAGGUCAAGUCAAUAUGCCUAAACAUCAAGAUGAGAUGCAUCAUUUCCUGCACUUCUUUGUAGAUUGCAGUGUGGUCGCUUACAUUUUCAUAGUUUCUUUACAGUAUAAAUAUUUGAGGUCUCAACCCCAGCGUGGCGGCAGGAGGCCGCAAGGGGGCGCCGAAGGACAGGUCCUCCGGAGCCAAUCACCGGAACACCUGCGAGAGAGAAGACCUGUGACAAUAGGCCGACGCAGCGGGCGAGUUGUGAGGUAUUGCAAGUACGCUUCUCUGCUGAACUCUUUGUUUCUCUGCCCCUGAAUUCCUUUAGAACCAGUGAGCCGCCGUGUAUCAACCUUCCGCCUUCUCUCGACUACGAACCGGCCUAUUCCCUGGAUCAGAUCCGUCCUUUGCACCCCGUGUCUCCGAACCGGUGCCUGUCCCCGGAUUUCCCGUAUUGCCUCGUCCCUUGUUUCUACCGUUGCCUGUCGUCCUCAAUAAACAUUGAGAGCUCUGCUCUUGGGUCUGAGUCUGCCUCCAGUGUCCAUUCGUUACAAUAUUGAUGAAAAUGACAAUUCUGUCAAUUGCAGUAAUAAAUGAAAAGCAAGUGAAUUAAAUCUGCAUCUUAACCGCUAUUGAAUUUUGAUUGCAUUAAGUCGUAAAAUUUGACAAAUUAUCAUGAUAAUGGUUGAAUUUCUCCUACCUUAAACUGUUUAGACAUUUCAGUUUUAAAAUUCUUUUAUUUUUAAAAUUUCUUUCCAUAGAAGGUAUUUUGUGGAAUUUCCCUGCUUUAUAUACUUAGACUGGAUAUUCAUAUUGGACUACACAUACCCUGACCCAGAACACACUAAGAGCAAAGUAAAGUUGAUAUACAGUUUUUCUUUCUGAACAGGUACUAGAAGAAACAUCCAAAGUAGUAUGCCGAAGUGUUGCUGCACUGGUUGUUUGAGUAGCUAUUUGUCUCCCAUGAAUGCUGGGUAACACCUAUAAGUGGUACUUCAGGCUCGUAGUAGUGAUCAGAUCAUUUGAGUUGCUUUUAUUGACUUUGUGGUCUGGUAGAGAUUUUAAAUUAAAAUGUCCAUUUAAAAGUGCAGUAGUUUUCUCCAUUUCUCGGUUAAUGUGUGCAGCAGUGUUAAGCACCUCCCAAUGCUCAAAGAAAAGAAUGCUGUUGUGUAAUGUAUUCUGGUGAUUUAGCGUUAUUAAAGCAUUAGCUCCUUACCUUUUGGGCCAAAUACUUAAUGAUGAAAGUUAACAUUUUCUUAACCAGAGUGGUGAAAAGGCCUCUAAAUGGCGGUGAAUUAGCCGUGCGCUUGUAUAGUCAUAAGUAGAUUAAAUAUUAGUUAAAGGGUCACCACAAUUACCAUCAAUACUGUCAACUUACCCGUGAACCCAAUUCUGGCCUUUCACUAUAAGAUAUCGCGCUUCAGCAUCAAAUAGCGUAAUAAAAGCGCUCUCAUCAUCGCCCAGCACUGCCCGAGUGAGUACUACUACUUUCUCUCAUAAAAGUAACUUUCCUGCACUAACGUUUUCAAAGCGAUCAACGAAAAAGAAUAUCGGAAACAAUGUGUGUGUGUGUGUGUGUGUGUCCGUGUUUCGGUGUCCAGGUUAGGACACCGUUCUGUUAUAUACAGUAUGUGUGUAUAUAUAUGUAUAUAUAUGUAUAUGUCAGGACUGGUGUUUCCCUAUAUUUCCAUUGUUCCUGUUUGUACACUCUCCCCCCAGUCAGUCCUGCCACCAUACAUCACCUGCUUUACGCUGAUGCUCCUAAUUCCCAAUGACAAGAACAGGUAGGUUAAAAGCAGCCUCAGUAAAGAUGACAAGACUCUGCUGUGACCUGAAAAUAGCUACUAGGUUUUAUGGAAGCCAGUCGUGCUCUUGUCUCUGUCUAUUAGAAUUGUGAGAAGUAACCUGUUUGCUGGCCUGGGAUGGCUCAUGCUCAUGCAGCAACUGAUAAGUUAUAACAGGGUUGAAACUUAUGAAAUAAAUAUCAAUUUGAUUUGAAUACAGCAUGAACAUUCUUGAACAUAAUAUAACCAUGUCCUAACUGCUCUAUCAUAAUAAAUCCUAGAUCAAUAUUAAUGGAACAUGUAGCUAAUUGGUAAAUGUAAAAAGACCACGACAAAAUACAUAAUGGAAUGGUUAUAAUAAGAAUACAGUUUCUAUAAUAAUCCAAAAACAGAGGUAUCAAACUUUACGUGUGUCGCACAUGUGUUUCCCACAUUGGUUGUCCCUGUAUUGCGGUCUUUCCGAAUUUGCAUCGCCUUGUGUCGGAUUCUUGAUCAGGGCCCUGCUCAGAUCGCUGCACUGCCCUUACCAAUGCUGUGUGGGGAAGGGUUGUCGCUUUGUGUGGGGAAGGGUUGUCGCUUUUGCAUGUCACACAGGCCUUUCCAAGCUGAUGUGGGAACACAAACCGUUCCCGUCACAGUGCCGAGGUCCCCUUGAUCUUUCACUUUUUAUUCAUUCCUUGUUUUGACCCACACUGGGAGAUCUGAAAUCCAUCUCAAUAGAUACGGGUCAUAUUUUACCCCAAACAGCAUCAGUGAAUAAAACUGUAUCACCUCAAAAUAAUUUUUCAUUUUCAAAAGUUGUCAAAUUCAAGUCUAAAAGAAUGAAGUUUAGGGUGUUUGUCAAAUGUCAAAACCAACACACACACACACACACACCUUUCUUCUAUAUUAAUGUUCAAAAUGUUAAAUACAGCGCUCCUCUAAAGUUUCUUGGCAAAGAGAAGGGGAAGAAUUUGUUCAGAAAAGUUGUGUUCGCAGUAUUUCAACGUUAUUCAAGUGAGGCUGUAAAGAUUAACCUCUAGUUCUGCAGAGUGAAGCAAACGCAGAAGUGCUUUAAAACUACCAUUGUCUCAAGAUGGCGCCACGGAUGCGCAAUGGUGCGCGUGGUUUUGUGUUGUUUUUGUUUUAAACUCGGUUUUCUGCUUGGAUUCCCGGCGCUCUUUCACCAUAGAGGCAAUGCAGGAUAAAGAUAUCUUUUACAGGGAUACAACUGCACCGCCUCCGUUAUUGGGGUAUUGAGAGAAGGUACCCAACACUGGCGUGGUCCCAAGCUGACUGGACAUGGAAAAUAACAAUGACAAUGUAAUUUAAGCUACACUAACAUUUAAAAAUUGCAAAAUUACGAAAAUGACGUAUAUGCAGUAGAAAAAUCAAGCUCCCUUCAACCUUUUACCACCACAAACUGUUACCACCACUUCAAUGUUGACUUUGAGGACGGACACAUUUAUUAUUAAUAAAAACAAUAUUCGGCCAUAAGAGCAUAUUGACCAAGAGGAAAAUAAUGUCAGAGUGAAUGAUGAAAUUGAAAUAGUUGUGCAAUCCUACUGGGAGAGACGUCAUCGGAUGGAAUAUUGGCAUUCAAAUAUCAUUUAAAUUGUGAGGUGCAUGGUUGUCUAAAAUGAGCCCAGAGUUUCUGCUGCUAGUUCACGUUAUUGCCCUGCCACUUGCAUCAACCUAGCAGUUGGAGCACCAGCAUUCUUAGCGACUUUCCACUUUUGGACUUGAGCAGUGGUUCUUAACGUACUUGGAAGUACUGAACCCUGCAACCUUCAUCAGUGCGUUCACCGCACAUGCAUGCAUCAGUUGCACAAAAGAACAAUACAUGAAUGUCACACAAUGAAUAUUUUGCGCAAAUGUGACUUUUGCAGUUGCCUUUCCGAUACAAGUUCAGAAAUGCGCCGCUUCACCUUGGCGAGUGUCACUCUCAUUUCACUUUCGCAGCAAAGUCUGUUCCUUUUCUUCGUUUUUAUGUCUACCAUCCUUGAGAAAGAUUGCUCGCAAAGGUAAGUUGUGACAGACGCUGUGAGAAUCUCAAGGGCUUUCUUCCUAACAAUAGGGUCUGGUACAAUUUGGUGCCACCAAAACGUUGAGAGCAUUGUUGGUUUGAAGAGUUGUCUGUUGAAGAAGAUGGCUCUGCUGAAGUUCAAUGAUUUUGUCAAGGUAUUCAUCGCCGACAUCGGCCGUCCCCACACUAAACGUGAACGGCUGUCUCAUUCAUGCUGGAUAGGAGUCACUGGUGGGGAAGUAUCUGGACCUCAUCUAAGUGCAGGGCAAUUGCUUGCUUCAGUUCCCGAGGGACAGAAAUGUCUCCAAUUCCAGACACGUCUUCUUCUUACUUACAGUCGUCUCUUGGGAAAGUUUGCAAGGUUAUCAUUCUCUGUACGUUGUUUCCAUAGAGGCAAACCAGGUUUUCAUCCACUUCGAUGACGUUAACUUGCCCUGCAUCUGUCGGUUGAGAUGAUUGAGAGCAUCAACAAUAUUGGCCAUGUACGCCAAAAUGAGAAUGAACUCUGCGUGACAAUGUUGGUCCUCAAAAUUAGGGCGCAAAAAUAGGGCUAAUUCCCCACGCUUGGCAAAAACACGAUUCAACACCUUUCCCCAGGAUAACCACCGAACGUUAGGAUGUCAUCACUCAUGUCAUCUAUUCUGCUGCUGAUACUGCCAUUUGAAACAGGAAUUUGAGAUAACUUAUCUUCAGUAGCUUUUCCCAGCAUGAUAUUCAUCAUCAACGCAGCUGGUUUAAUGGUGUGUGGUUUGACCUGCUUUGCAAUCAUAUACGCAACUUCGUACGGUGCUGUAAGGGUUGGUUUGUUGAUCUGUACAACAGGCAGCGGGGCCUUGUCAUCAAAUCUGACUCUUCACCUUGAAUUCAGCGAGCGUAGUGGUCUUGUAUUUCCCACCUCCAUGCAGCUUUAGGAAGUGUUCCUUUGGUUCUCCUUUGGUUCUGCCGGUGCUCGGCUAGAAUCACUCAACUUGGCAUUGCAAAUGAUGCAUUGAGGACACUGACUUUAUACACGGGAAUCCAUAUUGUACGUAUUCUUCUCUUUUGCUCAACAUGUAUGUAUGUAUGUAUGAAGAGAUUGAAAGGUUAAAAGAAAAUCACACAUGACGUAUAAUAAAAGCAGCCAUAAAUCGACUACUGAGCGUGAUGCAAUGUGGCGUGAUUAGCAGUAGCCAAUGAUGGCCAAGAGGAGCAUAACAUCUCAAAUAAUACGAGUGGGCUGAAUUUAUUUUUACAUCCCAACAAAAAAUAUUUAUGUGUUUAGAAUUUUUGGACGGCUGACAAACGGCCCGACAUUAUUAGUGUGAACCGGGCUAUACUCUGUGCGUGUGUGUGUGUGUGUGUGUGUGUGUGUGUGUCUUGGCGCCAUCCAGUGAGCAUUUUUGGGUUAAAAAGACAUUGAAAAUUGUUUUAAAAGUGAACGUUUUUUUCAACGCCAGCCAAGGUCUUUUAAACUGAUAAAUUGUUCGCUGGUAAGUUACAUACUUAGUCACAGUUGUCAUGUUAACAGCCCUUACAAACAAACAGAUAUUUUAUUGAUUUGUAUUUGUUAUUAAUGCACAACACACAUAUACGACAACCCUAUAUAUAUAUAUAUAUAUAUAACACAACACUUUUUAUCAUGCAACAUAUCCCAAAACCUUCACAUCGGCACAGGAAAAAAACUUCAACUGGGAGAAACCUCAGAGAACGGAGAAUACGUCCCCUUCAGGAAUCAGGAAUCAGGAAACAUUUAUUAGCCAAAAUAUGUCAAACAUACAAGGAAUUUGUCUUGGCGGUUAGUGCGCGACAGUAGACAGACAAGACAACAGUGCACAAGUAAUAAAAUAAAGUAGAAUGAAAUGCUAAUGCAAUGGGUUAGUAGAAUAAGGCUAUGGGUUAGUAUAAAACAAGGGAAUCAAGUUAAAAAUUUUAAAUAUUAAAAAGAAAAAUAUUAAGCAUAGUGCACUAGCGAACAAGUGACGACAAAGUGAUGAAUGACAGUUAAAGUGACAUGUGCAGUGUGAAGGGGAGUGACCGGUGGAAUGUUAUAGUCAGUCAGUGGGGGACCGGGCUCUGUUGAUGAGCCCGACUGCCGACGGGAAGAAACUGUUGGUGUGGCGGGAGGUCUUAGUCCUGAUGGACCUCAGCCUCCUGCCAGAUGGAAGGGGCACAAACAGGUUUUGUCCGGGGUGAGAGGGGUCGGCUACCAUCUUUUUAGCUGCUUCAGAGACC
ensembl:lncRNA